rnacentral:rRNA from 1 species
AACACAUGCAAGUCGAGGGGAAACGGCAUUUAGUGCUUGCACCGAAUGGACGUCGACCGGCGCACGGGUGAGUAACGCGUAUCCAACCUACCCAUUACUGUGGGAUAACCUGCCGAAAGGCAGACUAAUACCGCAUGGUCUUCGAUGACGGCAUCAGAUUUGAAGUAAAGAUUUAUCGGUAAUGGAUGGGGAUGCGUCUGAUUAGCUUGUUGGCGGGGUAACGGCCCACCAAGGCAACGAUCAGUAGGGGUUCUGAGAGGAAGGUCCCCCACAUUGGAACUGAGACACGGUCCAAACUCCUACGGGAGGCAGCAGUGAGGAAUAUUGGUCAAUGGGCGCGAGCCUGAACCAGCCAAGUAGCGUGCAGGAUGACGGCCCUAUGGGUUGUAAACUGCUUUUGUAUGGGGAUAAAGUCAAUCACGUGUGAUUGUUUGCAGGUACCAUACGAAUAAGGACCGGCUAAUUCCGUGCCAGCAGCCGCGGUAAUACGGAAGGUCCGGGCGUUAUCCGGAUUUAUUGGGUUUAAAGGGAGCGUAGGCCGGAGAUUAAGUGUGUCUGUGAAAUGUAGACGCUCAACGUCUGACUUGCAGCGCAUACUGGUUUCCUUGAGUACGCACAACGUUGGCGGAAUUCGUCGUGUAGCGGUGAAAUGCUUAGAUAUGACGAAGAACUCCGAUUGCGAAGGCAGCUGACGGGAGCGCAACUGACGCUUAAGCUCGAAGGUGCGGGUAUCGAACAGGAUUAGAUACCCUGGUAGUCCGCACAGUAAACGAUGGAUGCCCGCUGUUGGUACCUGGUAUCAGCGGCUAAGCGAAAGCAUUAAGCAUCCCACAUGGGAGUACGCC